CAGCAGCCACGGGAAUACGAAGGGGGCUAGCGUUGUUCGGAUUUACUGGGCGUAAAGCGCACGUAGGCGGACUUUUAAGUCAGGGGUGAAAUCCCGGGGCUCAACCCCGGAACUGCCUUUGAUACUGGAAGUCUUGAGUAUGGUAGAGGUGAGUGGAAUUCCGAGUGUAGAGGUGAAAUUCGUAGAUAUUCGGAGGAACACCGGUGGCGAAGGCGGCUCACUGGACCAUUACUGACGCUGAGGUGCGAAAGCGUGGGGAGCAAACAGGAUUAGAUACCCGGGUAGUCCCUGUCUCUUAUAC
rnacentral:rRNA from 1 species